rnacentral:misc_RNA from 1 species
UUCCUUCCCCCCUGCCCUGCGGGUGGGUGCUGGUUUGGGUCUGUGGUGGAGUUCGGUGUUU